rnacentral:rRNA from 1 species
AUGGGCGAAAGCCUGACGCAGCAACGCCGCGUGCGGGAUGACGGCCUUCGGGUUGUAAACCGCUUUUCUGUGGGAAGAGGAAGGACGGUACCACAGGAAUAAGUCUCGGCUAACUACGUGCCAGCAGCCGCGGUAAAACGUAGGAGGCGAACGUUAUCCGGAUUUACUGGGUGUAAAGCGCGUGCAGGCGGUGGCGUAAGUCGUGUGUGAAAGCGCUCAGGCUCAACCGGGCGAGGACAGGCGAAACUGCGUCACUUGAGGCAGGUAGAGGCGUGUGGAAUUCCGGGUGUAGUGGUGAAAUGCGUAGAUAUCCGGAGGAACACCAGUGGCGAAGGCGACACGCUGGGCCUGACCUGACGCUAAGGCGCGAAAGCAUGGGUAGCGAACGGGAUUAGAAACCCCGGUAGUCCAUGCCGUAAACGAUGCGUACUAGGUGUUGCGGUGUAGAAACUGCAGUGCCGAAGCCAACGUGAUAAGUACGCCACCUGGGGAC